CAUUUGCCAACAUUCUAUCAAGAGGUUAGGUUAAGAAAUACUUGUAACAGAUCUAAACCCGUAUAUAAACAGUUUGAAGCUUUUUGUCACGGUCUUUUUUCCCCCUCUCUCUGUUCAGCAACCAAAUUAAAAACAAGCGCAGCAAUAACAGAACCAAGUGGGCAGGAUUGCGUCACAGGAAUUCCGCACUAUUGGUGGCAGCUGGCCAACAGAGGGUGCAAGGGCGCCGCCCUGAAAUUCACCAAGAAGACAUAAAGAAAAUAAAUAGAAAUGAAAUCAAAUAAAAACGACGUACGAAGACUUGUCCAGCACUGCAGCGCAACUCCUCGGAGUAUAAGCUUGAAACCUUUACAUCUCCUCGUACUUUUGCAAUUUUGCAGCGCAUGUCAAGCUGUGAGAAUGGCAACAGAAGGGGACUUGCUCUCUUUCCCCAAAACAAGGGAUAUACCUGAUAGUGUCAUCGACCAACUAAAAGAAGAUAAGGUUGAGCGGUUAGCACAUCUACCUCACAGUUCUGGAAUUUGGGGUUCAAUUCUAAGCCGUGGCCUUCCUGUGGGGAGAUUGUUGUCCAGACCAGGGUGCACCCUACCUCUCACCAAAAGACAUCUGCGAUAAGCUCCAGCUCAACCGUGAGCCAAAUGAGGACAAGGGGUGAAGAAAAUUGAAAAAUUGAAAUUGUAAAAUGUUUGAAUAGUUCGAUUGCAGAUUUUGUAUAGAACACGCAAAGGUUUAGUUUGUAACUGCGCUAACAUAAUGAAAUUGACAUUGCCGUUAGACAAGGAAGUGUCCAGGUUAGACCACCAAUAUUAAUGAAAGCUAAAGUCAGCGAGGUAAAAUGACCACAGGACUUUUAAACUGCCUGUAAACAUAUUUCAACCUGUUUUCAUAUGGUUCAUGUGGGAAUUUCAUUUUAUUUA